rnacentral:rRNA from 1 species
UACGAACUGUGCGAACGUUAUUCGGAAUCACUGGGCUUACAGGGUGCGUAGGCGGCUUGUUAAGUAGGGUGUGAAAGCCCCCGGCUCAACCGGGGAAUGGCGCCCUAAACUGGCGAGCUGGAGUGAGAUAGGGGUGUGUGGAACUUCCGGUGGAGCGGUGAAAUGUGUUGAUAUCGGAAGGAACGCCGGUGGCGAAAGCGACGUGCUGGACCUCUUCUGACGCUGAGGCGCGAAAGCCAGGGGAGCAAACGGG